GGAUGCGAUAAUACUAGCACUAAAGCACCGGA
rnacentral:rRNA from 1 species